AUGCUCCUUCUUUCAACCCGGAGACGAUAAAGGAGUUGAUUUCGAAGGGGAUUGAAGCUGAGCAUUUGGGGAAGCAAGCUGCAGCUAUUUCAGCUGGGGGUUCGGAUUUGGCCGAGAUAGAGUUGAUGAUUGUGAAGGUGAGAGAGGAAAUUGAUGAUCUCUUUGGGGGAAAGGGAAAGGAGAGCAACGAAAGUGGAGGGUGUUGUUGCAAAGAAGCGGAGUGUGGUGGGAUGAAGGACUUCACAACGGAUUUGAGGACUGAAUUCAAAGGUUUGGAUGAUGUUUAUGUGUGGAAUGCGCUCUGUGGCGGAUGGGGUGGUGUGAGGCCAGGAACUACACAUCUUGAUUCGAAAAUAAUACCAUGCAAACUCUCUCCUGGUCUUGUUGGGACCAUGAAGGAUCUUGCAGUGGAUAAAAUAGUGGAAGGUUCCAUAGGGCUUGUUCAUCCUCAUCAAGCUAAUGACCUCUACGAUUCCAUGCACUCUUAUCUUGCCCAAGCCGGUGUUACUGGAGUCAAAAUUGACGUCAUUCACAGUCUUGAAUACGUAUGCGAGGAAUAUGGAGGCAGAGUGGAGAUUGCCAAGGCUUAUUACGAUGGGUUGACAAACUCCAUUAUCAAGAUAUUCAAUGGAAGUGCAAUCAUCG
rnacentral:sRNA from 1 species